UACGAAGGGGGGCUAGCGUUGUUCGGAUUUACUGGGCGUAAAGCGCACGUAGGCGGAUUGUUAAGUCAGGGGUGAAAUCCCGGAGCUCAACUCCGGAACUGCCUUUGAUACUGGCAAUCUUGAGGCUGGAAGAGGCUAGUGGAAUUCCCAGUGUAGAGGUGAAAUUCGUAGAUAUUGGGAAGAACACCAGUGGCGAAGGCGGCUAACUGGUCCAGAUCUGACGCUGAGGUGCGAAAGCGUGGGGAGCAAACAGG
rnacentral:rRNA from 1 species